rnacentral:misc_RNA from 1 species
GAUGAAGAACGCAGUGAAAUGCGAUACUUGGUGUGAAUUGCAGAAUCCCGUGAACCAUCGAGUCUUUGAACGCAAGUUGCGCCCGAAGCCAUUAGGCCGAGGGCACGCCUGCCUGGGCGUCACACGUCGUUGCCCCCCCAUCUACUCCUUCGGGAUUGCGGGGGGCGGAUGAUGGCCUCCCGUGCGCCUCGUCGCGCGGUUGGCAUAAAUGCCAAGUCCUCGGCGACGCACGCCACGACAAUCGGUGGUUGCGAAACCUCGGUUGCCCGUCGUGUGCGGUCGUCGCGCAUCGAGGGCUCGAAAAAAUUGUCGGGCUCCGGCUCGGCUUUCAACGCGACCCCAGGUCAGGCGGGGUUGCCCGCUGAAUUUAAGCAUAUCAAUAAGCGGAGGA